CAGCAGCCGCGGUAUACGUAGGUUCCGAGCGUUGUCCGGAUGUAUUGGGCGUAAAGCGAGCGCAGGCGGUUAGAUAAGUCUGAAGUUAAAGGCUGUGGCUUAACCAUAGUACGCUUUGGAAACUGUUUAACUUGAGUGCAAGAGGGGAGAGUGGAAUUCCAUGUGUAGCGGUGAAAUGCGUAGAUAUAUGGAGGAACACCGGUGGCGAAAGCGGCUCUCUGGCUUGUAACUGACGCUGAGGCUCGAAAGCGUGGGGAGCAAACAGGAUUAGAUACCCUGGUAGUCAAGGGCGAAUUCGC
rnacentral:rRNA from 1 species